GAUGAAGAACGCAGCAAAAUGCGAUAAGUAAUGUGAAUUGCAGAAUUCAGUGAAUCAUCGAAUCUUUGAACGCACAUUGCGCCCGCCAGUAUUCUGGCGGGCAUGCCUGUUCGAGCGUCAUUUCAACCCUCAAGCCCUCGGGUUUGGUGUUGGGGAUCGGCGAGCCUUUCUGGCAAGCCGGCCCCGAAAUCUAGUGGCGGUCUCGCUGCGGCCUCCAUUGCGUAGUAGUAAAACCCUCGCAACUGGAACGCGGCGCGGCCAAGCCGUUAAACCCCCAACUUCUGAAUGUUGACCUCGGAUCAGGUAGGAAUACCCGCUGAACUUAAGCAUAUCAAUAAGCGGAGGA
rnacentral:misc_RNA from 1 species